GAACAUAAAGGACGAACAUGCAACAUUAUUACUGUUUAUUAUUCGAAGUGGACAUCAGACUUUCAUUACAUUAAUUCAACACUCAAUCUUGAUUUAAUGAAUUAAUUUGUUUCGACUUGAGUUUCGAUCAGACGAACGGGUCUGCGUGGUGCAGCCUAUGUACAGGUAAUAUACACUAACUUGACGACUCUGGCAGGGUGUGAUUUGGAUGGACAAUGACCAUAAAAACAGCCGCAAAGAAGUGCCUACUUAGGAAGCAACCACUAAUGAAUUGCAUCACAUGCGGGCGCCAUAAUUGUAUAGUAAAUCAAUUGCUUCAAACUGCUGUCUCUCCUCGUACAAGCUUCUUCUUCCAGGUCGGGAAAGCUCAUAACCAGCGAAUUAUAUUUUUAUUACCAUUAAACAUCAUCGUGAACAGAUGCAUUUUUAUUUUGACGAAAGCUUCUAUCUUACGAUGAGCAGAUGAAUGAAACAUAGCCGAGGAAUUUCUUUCGACAAGGAUAGGGGCAAGGAUAAUCGACAAAGUAAGCACUUGUGAGACGGGAAAACAGCUAAAUAGACGAAUCGCUAUAUAUAGGUCUGUACAUGACGAUAUACCAAAUACCUAUGAAGUGGUGUGAAUUCGAACUUCAACACGAUUUCAAUAUCAUCAUAAUGGUUUACAUGGUUUUGUCAUUACACACAAAAUAAAGCAAAAGAAACGAGACGAAAAGACUGAAAGAUGGAUGCUUUCUAUCAACAGAUUCCACGACCCGACUUCCAGAAGAGUCAUGUGACACGUAACGCCAAACCUAUCAUCAACAGCUUUGAUGAGAGGUUUCCUUACACUGCUCCUCCACUCGACUUUUCUUUCAUGAACAUUGGUAACUUCGACUCAUAUCUUCAUGGUAAGGACGAUGAACCAAGGCAGCAAGGUCUAAAGAACCUCACCAAGACCGAAGAUGGGAAAUACUCGACCACCACCCUGAAAAUGAACAACAAUCUUCUUCAAGAAUGGAAAGGUUUCGAACAAUUCCUAAAGGACAUUCUGGCAAGUCCACAAGAACUCUAUUGGCUUGAUCUGUCUUUCAACUAUCUUAUUACCAUAGAUGAAGUCAUACUCAACUUUCCCAAUAUUAGAAUUCUCUAUCUCCAUGGAAAUGCAAUCGAGGAUGCCAAAGAGAUUGAUAAACUAGCUCAACUUCAACAUCUUUUUAAACUCACCCUCCAUGGAAACCCGGUGGAGUCUGAUCCUGGUUACAGACAGCGUGUACUCUCUAAACUUCCAAACUUGAAGACGCUAGACUGUAGUGAAGUAACUAAAGCUGACAGGGAGAAAUCCCAGGUUUACGUGUCGAUGGUCGGGGAUCGAAAUCCGACAGCAAAGAAGAAACAUGCUCGUUCAAAAACAAAGUAAAACUGUUUUUCAUGUUUGAUAAAUUCAUUCGUUCCCAUUGGAGAGUACCCGUUUACCAUUAUUCAUCCGCAACGAUGAACAAUUGAAGAAAACCUUCAUCGAUUAUAGCGAAAAGCGUUAAAAGAUUUAUGAAAAUGUGAGAUAGAGGGGACAGCAUAUUAUGUGCAUUAGUUUAAUUUUCAUGCUCCAGGCUGAAGGUAUUUAUAUUUCACUAAAUAGAGUAAAAUUCUCAGAGCAAAAUGCUGAAAAUUUGAUCAAAAUCAGAUAACAAAUAUUGAACUUAUCGAAUUUCAAAGAUUUGCAUUAUUCUGGUGAAACAGUUCUAAGCAUGUCUUAACGAAUAUUCAUUAGGUGGGCUGAUGAUGUCAUUUCCCCAUUUGUUCUUUUGUAUUUUAUUAUAUGAAAUUAGGUUUAUUCAAAAUGUUUCUACCAAGAACUAAAACAAUUGGAUUGUCAACUGAUGAAGUGCAUUAGUUACUUAUUACUGCGACUUAUUUCAUAAUAGUGGAGACUCAUCAUUUACACAUGUAUAUAUGAAAAAUUACACAAUUAUGAUUUCAUGUAAUAACAUAAGAAAAGGGAAUGUGGGGGUGUGACAUCAUCAGCCCACCUAAUGAACAUUCAUGACAACUGUUUUCACAAAAUAUUGCUAAACUUUGAAAUUCAAUAACUUUGUUAUUUGUUAUCAGAUUUUGAUGAAAUUUUCAGCAUUUUGCUCUGUGAAUUUCACUAUUUUUAUUUAGAUGCCCGGGGCAUGCCUUUAACCCUUGCUCUACAGGGGGACAAAUCUUCUUUAAAUUUUCACUCGUGGUAACCGCAAGAAAGGCCUCGCGCAAUUAAAGCACAUUUCAGCCAGCAAUAAGGAGUUUUAUGACGAUUUUAGUAUUAACAUCGUUUGAGACCAGAUUCCCAAUGUUUUUUUUAUUUGUUUAUUUUUUUGCAGUGAGAUCCGCCUUGCUUUUUACAAAGUCCGAACGUACAAUGACCUCCUAUUGUACACAAAUAUAUGGAGCUGUCCCUGCGGAUACAUGAUCUUUCCCACAAUUUUUUUUUUUUUUUUUUGCGGAGGGGCGGGGGUGAAGAGAUUGUUAAAGUGAAAACUAGUUGGUAUAUGCAUGGACCUACGAAUUGAUGGAUAUUCAUCGGUUGUAAUGAAUUCACUAACAUGUGGAUGUCAAUGUUUUUCAUGUCAUGUAUCAUAUCACUCCAUGCAAGUAUGUUCCCCUGUUAUUACCCGUGCGCACACACAUUCACUCCCGCACUCGCACAACCCGUCACAAUCUACCAACCACAACAUAUACACAUACACGCGUGCGCGCGCGCGCGCGCACAAACACACACACUCACACACACCUACCCUCAGUUCACAACACAGUUCUUCAUCCACAAUACGGUUUCAUUCAAAAAGUCUAAAUGAUACCCCGUGACGAAAGCAUGCAUGACCAAGACAUGAUAGACUCAGAAAGUAAAUAUUUCACAAUAGAAGAUUUUAAUAAUAAAUUCAACGUUUCACCGAAUGAUUUUGCUACUAUAACCGAAACCAACACAUCUUUUAACAGCAUUGCUAGUGACCAAAAUCAUAUUUUGUCUAGUCAUUCUUUAGGUUUUUUGCACAUCAACGCUAGAAGUUUAAAUAAAUCAUUUGAUUCGAUUGAAUUACUCCUUUCCAAUAUUAACAAUUACCCCUUCUCUAUUAUCGGUAUAUCAGAAACUUGGCUGCACAAAAACUCACCACCUCUAUUUAACAUUGAUAAUUAUCAAAUGAUUCGUUCUGACCGUGAGCAUGGUAAAGGGGGUGGCGUUGCCUUGUACACGCGCAAUGAUAUACAUUUUAAAGUAAGGGCAGAUAUACAUAUCCAAGGCACGGAGGAUAUUUUCAUUGAAAUUUUAAACAGUAAAAAUAAAAACAUAAUCGUAGGUAAUGUGUACAGACCCCCAAAUGGUGACAUUGAUUUGUUUUUAGAUAAGCUCGAUCAAUGUCUUAGUUUUAUUUCUCGGGAAAAUAAAGACAUUUACAUAAUGGGAGAUUAUAACAUUAAUCUUAUUAAUACUGACAAUAAUUACACUCUAAAAUUUAUUAGCUCAUUGCUUUCAUACUCUUUCCACCCGCAUAUUAGUAAUCCGACACGAAUAUCAAGUACGCCUAAAACCCUCAUUGACAAUAUCAUUUCAAAUGUAACUAACAAAAACUUCAUAAAUGGCAUUAUUUAUUCUGACAUUUCGGACCAUUUACCUAUAUUUGUUAUUUCUAAUCAAGCUAAAAUUCAACAACAUAC